rnacentral:lncRNA from 1 species
CGCGCGGCUGCCGCCCUUUCCACGGUGACGCCGUCUGCACUAGCGCCGCACCCGCUUCAACUGCCUGCAACCGCCGCUGAAUUCCCUCAUCCCCACGCUGAGAGGACGAGAAAGGCGCCCUGGGGAAGGCUCUCGGGAAAGCCCGCAGCCGCUGGACGCGGGAGGACAUGGAGGAUUUACUGCCUCAAGAUGGUUAUGUUGGAGGAUUCCAAUAGUUCUACUGGAUGUGGAGCCAGAAAUUGUGUGGAAUGCCUGGUGUUUCUUUCAGUUCUUGGAUGCCAAUCUGAGUGUGCAAGUCAGUGGAAUUAAGUUCUUUCACAAGACUGUACCAUCACCUCUAUCAAGCGUCAGAACUUUUUCAUCACCUCAAAUGGAAAACCUGUAGCCAUCGAGCAGUCAGUCUUCAUUUGCCAGCUCUCCCUAGCCCUGCCAGCCACUAAUCUGCUUUCUCUAUGUAUGGAUUUGCCUAUUUUGGAUAUUACAUAUAAAUGG